UGCUUGCCUGCAUUGUCAUAGAAAAAAGAGC
rnacentral:piRNA from 1 species